GGCAACAGCUCAAAUUUGAAAUCUGGCUCUUUCAGGGUCCGAGUUGUAAUUUGUAGAGGAUGCUUCGGGCGUGGCGCGGGUCUAAGUUCCUUGGAACAGGACGUCAUAGAGGGUGAGAAUCCCGUAUGCGACCCAAUGCCUUCGUCCAUGUGAAGCUCCUUCGACGAGUCGAGUUGUUUGGGAAUGCAGCUCAAAAUGGGUGGUAAAUUUCAUCUAAAGCUAAAUACUGGCCAGAGACCGAUAGCGCACAAGUAGAGUGAUCGAAAGAUGAAAAGCACUUUGGAAAGAGAGUUAAAAAGUACGUGAAAUUGUUGAAAGGGAAGCGCUUGCAACCAGACUUGCUCGCGGUUGCUCAGCCGGUGUUCUCACCGGUGCACUCUUCCGCGAUCAGGCCAGCAUCGGUUUGGGCGGCUGGAUAAAGGCUUCGGGAAUGUAGCUCCUCUCGGGGAGUGUUAUAGCCCGGGGUGCAAUGCAGCCUGCCCGGACCGAGGACCGCGCUUCGGCUAGGAUGCUGGCGUAAUGGUUGUAAGCGACCCGUCUUGAAACACGGACCAAGGAGUCUAACAUCUAUGCGAGUGUUUGGGUGUCAAACCCAUGCGCGUAAUGAAAGUGAACGGAGGUGGGAACCCUUAAGGGUGCACCAUCGACCGAUCCUGAUGUCUUCGGAUGGAUUUGAGUAAGAGCAUAGCUGUUGGGACCCGAAAGAUGGUGAACUAUGCCUGAAUAGGGUGAAGCCAGAGGAAACUCUGGUGGAGGCUCGCAGCGGUUCUGACGUGCAAAUCGAUCGUCAAAUUUGGGUAUAGGGGCGAAAGACUAAUCGAACCAUCUAGUAGCUGGUUCCUGCCGAAGUUCCCUCAGGA
rnacentral:rRNA from 1 species